UACGUAGGGUGCAAGCGUUACUCGGAAUUACUGGGCGUAAAGCGUGCGCAGGCGGUUGUGUAAGUUUGACGUGAAAUCCCCGGGCUUAACCUGGGAAUGGCGUUGAAGACUGCACGGCUAGAGUGUGUCAGAGGGGGGUAGAAUUCCACGUGUAGCAGUGAAAUGCGUAGAGAUGUGGAGGAAUACCGAUGGCGAAGGCAGCCCCCUGGGAUAACACUGACGCUCAUGCACGAAAGCGUGGGGAGCAAACAGG
rnacentral:rRNA from 1 species